rnacentral:rRNA from 1 species
UCGCGACUAUAAACAAGGAGGCGCGCAAGUGACGAAGCCUGCGGGUAGAGUCGCAACACAGCCGAAUUGCGGGGAAGUCCUAAAGCUCCGGGGUACUAACCUACUAUAGGGAUGUAGUAGGGGCCUGUGCUAACUACACAGGGUACAGUAACAACCCCUGGAGAUCUGGUGUACUGUGCCAGAAUGGAUGAUCCGCAGCGCAACCCCUAGCCCAGGGGAACGUUCACAGACUAAGUGGUUGUGGGUAGGGGUUACCCUGCUUAAGAUAUAGUCGGGCCUACGGGGAAACCUGUAGGGUAUUCGCCAAGUUGAUCAGUGUGGGCGUAGUGAGCAAUCAUUCACAGAACUUUCUGGGGGGUCAUGCAUGUAAAUUCAUCGCUAUGUAUCUCAGGUCUGUAGGUGCCAUUGUGACAGAUGUGCACUGCAGAUAAUAGCAACGGAAGGGUAAGGUGAAUGGUUGACCGCGAGGCCAAUGCUGAGAAUAGGAAGUGUUGUGAAGGGGAAGUUCUUGUUUUGGAGUGUCUGCGUGGGGGAAGAAGAAGAAGAGGUGUGAAUGGGAGAAGACAAGGGGGGUAUUUAUACUUCCCGGGAGAAACCGAAUUCUAGGCUCCCAUCUAGGCUCCGGUCGCUGCCUGCUCGGCUCCGGUCGCUGCUAGACAUGCCUUCUCCCCCCUCUCCCCCUUGCAGACACACAAGUCGGGCUACCGUUUGCAACACUGCCUGGAAUAGAACCGCUCCGUAGGUGAACCUGCGGAGGGAUCAUU